rnacentral:rRNA from 1 species
GAGGUGCUUGCACCUUAUCUUAGCGGCGGACGGGUGAGUAAUGCUUAGGAAUCUGCCUAUUAGUGGGGGACAACAUUCCGAAAGGGAUGCUAAUACCGCAUACGUCCUACGGGAGAAAGCAGGGGAUCUUCGGACCUUGCGCUAAUAGAUGAGCCUAAGUCGGAUUAGCUAGUUGGUGGGGUAAAGGCCUACCAAGGCGACGAUCUGUAGCGGGUCUGAGAGGAUGAUCCGCCACACUGGGACUGAGACACGGCCCAGACUCCUACGGGAGGCAGCAGUGGGGAAUAUUGGACAAUGGGGGGAACCCUGAUCCAGCCAUGCCGCGUGUGUGAAGAAGGCCUUAUGGUUGUAAAGCACUUUAAGCGAGGAGGAGGCUACUGAGACUAAUACUCUUGGAUAGUGGACGUUACUCGCAGAAUAAGCACCGGCUAACUCUGUGCCAGCAGCCGCGGUAAUACAGAGGGUGCGAGCGUUAAUCGGAUUUACUGGGCGUAAAGCGUGCGUAGGCGGCUUUUUAAGUCGGAUGUGAAAUCCCCGAGCUUAACUUGGGAAUUGCAUUCGAUACUGGGAAGCUAGAGUAUGGGAGAGGAUGGUAGAAUUCCAGGUGUAGCGGUGAAAUGCGUAGAGAUCUGGAGGAAUACCGAUGGCGAAGGCAGCCAUCUGGCCUAAUACUGACGCUGAGGUACGAAAG